ACGGAGCUGAGAGGAGCUUGCUUUUCUUAGCUUAGUGGCGAACGGGUGAGUAACGCGUGAGUAACCUGCCCUGGAGUGGGGGACAACAGUUGGAAACGACUGCUAAUACCGCAUAAGCCCACGGCCCGGCAUCGGGCUGAGGGAAAAGGAUUUAUUCGCUUCAGGAUGGACUCGCGUCCAAUUAGCUAGUUGGUGAGGUAACGGCCCACCAAGGCAACGAUUGGUAGCCGGACUGAGAGGUUGAACGGCCACAUUGGGACUGAGACACGGCCCAGACUCCUACGGGAGGCAGCAGUGGGGAAUAUUGCACAAUGGGGGAAACCCUGAUGCAGCGACGCCGCGUGGAGGAAGAAGGUCUUCGGAUUGUAAACUCCUGUUGUUGGG
rnacentral:rRNA from 1 species